rnacentral:rRNA from 1 species
GUGGGGAAUCUUGCGCAAUGGGCGAAAGCCUGACGCAGCCAUGCCGCGUGAAUGAUGAAGGUCUUAGGAUUGUAAAAUUCUUUCACCGGGGACGAUAAUGACGGUACCCGGAGAAGAAGCUCCGGCUAACUUCGUGCCAGCAGCCGCGGUAAUACGAAGGGGGCUAGCGUUGCUCGGAAUUACUGGGCGUAAAGGGCGCGUAGGCGGACAGCUUAGUCAGAGGUGAAAGCCCAGGGCUCAACCUUGGAAUUGCCUUUGAUACUGGCUGUCUUGAGUACGGGAGAGGUGAGUGGAACUCCGAGUGUAGAGGUGAAAUUCGUAGAUAUUCGGAAGAACACCAGUGGCGAAGGCGACUCACUGGCCCGUUACUGACGCUGAGGCGCGAAAGCGUGGGGAGCAAACAGGAUUAGAAACCCUAGUAGUCC